rnacentral:lncRNA from 1 species
AGGGCUGAGUUAGGCCAAUGGCAGCCCAUAUUUGACCUAACUUGUUUUGGGUUGGGGCGGGAAGGAACACGAAUCAAAAGGUUGGAUUUUCUUGGGCCAGGGCUGCCUUAUGGCCCUCAAACUGCUAUACCUAUGGUUUGUUUCCAGAUGUGGUAAAUCUAUGAAGUAUGUUUAUGUCUAUGGAUAGUAUUAGAGACCCGGGGUUCAUUCUGACCUUCUCACGCCACGUUAUGAACAAUAUAGCACGAAGCCUU